UGCUUUAUUCAUUUAACAACGAACUUGUUACAUUUGUUGGACAAAGUUUUUAACAGACACUUGACAUCCCGAAUUUUAUGUAUUGUUUUUCUACAUUGGUUAAUAUAAACAAGACUUUAUACUUGUAGUUCAUCCAAUUAUUAUUAUUCUUACAUUUUAACAGAAGCUUAACGUAUAAAGUUAAAAGAAAUAGUGGGUCUUAACCAUAACAUCCCUAAAUUUGUACAAAAGUAUUUAAGAGGAAGUCAUUUAUAUAAUUCUGUGAAUAAUGUUUGUUUUAAUCAGGACCUGCUGUAACUGGAUACUGAUAAUUAAACCUAUAACGAGCAGGUUUAAAAAAAAAAAUUUAAAUAUAUUAGUUUAAUGUGCACUAGAAAUAUUCCGUGAUAACGUUACAAAAAUCUGAGUUUUUCAUUGACAUGAUCUUUUUGCCAGUGUGUAACCUAUCAGGAGAAUGGUCACCUACACCUAUUUUGCGAUUCAUAUUUUUAAAUUAACUGUCCACUUCCUGUUGGCAUUGAUGUUUAUUAAUCAAGGUGAGACAUUGACUGCCAAAAAAGACUGAAAUCAUUUGACUCACCAAAAUAAAAUUAAAGUUACCGUCGAUUGAUUGAUACUUGGUUGCUUUACAUAAGACUCGUCAGUGACGCUCAAAUCAAACAAGUUUGAAAGCCAAAAAAGUAGAGUUGAAGAGCAUUGGGGACACAAAAUUCCAAAAAGUUGUGCCAAAUAUUGUAAAGGUAAUCUAUGUCUGGGAUAAGAAAAUACUUAGUAUUUCGAAUAAUUCAUACAUUUGCAAACAGUUAAUUGAAAAAUUAAAAAAUGACCAUAUAAUUGAUAUGCAUGUCAACACUGACAUACUGACUACUAGUUAAAAAACAGUAAAAGUAAUAAUUUACAAAGACAAGUAAAAAAAUACUAUAUAGAUAUAGGAAGAUGUGGUAUGAGUUCCAAUGAGACAACUGUCCAUCCAAGUAGCAAUUUAUAUACGUAAACCAUUAUAGAUCAAGGUACGGCAUAAGACACGGAGCCUUGGCUCACACCGAAGAGAAAAGGCUAUAAAGGGAAUAAAAAAUUACUAAUGUAAAGCCAUUCAAACGGUGAAACCAACGGUAUAAUCUAUAUAACACGCUUUUAUGAUGAUAAGGAACUCCAGUAUAUAGAAUCUAAACUUCAAGACCAUCAUUUGUUAUUUGUGUAGUUGAUACGGAAUAUUAUAAACAAUGUGUUAGUAUCAUCAUAACAAAUGUUCUUGAAUACCGAAUGAGUUGAAAAAUGUAUAUUUCACAUGCAGGGUAAGUUGGUAUAUUAGGUGAGGGUAUAAUGAUAAUUUUGAAAUUAAAAUAGUCUAGUUGGUACUGAAAUAAUCGCUCAGGUCAAAUUAUAGAUAUAAGUCUUGAAAUGAGGAAGCGGUUUCUUUUGUGUCUUUUAUUUCUAGUUCUGGAGUAUAAUGAAACCCAAUCGGAAAAGUUUGAAUUGUUAAUUGAAAGAACAUUAUUAAUAUAUCUGAAUGUUAAAUUAAAAUAUCUGCAGUCUUUGGUAUUCUUGUUUUUUUUUUUACAAGUGUCUGAAAAAACGUUGACUUAUAUGAUAUAAAAAGAGGUCGACCAGGAAAGUUCCCAUAGGAAUACCGACAUUUUAAUUCCGAAAUCAACACAUAAGUUGUCAGUUAGAAACUCCAGAAAACUAAUCACUUCUUCCUUUGUGCAGAAUUUUUCACAUUGUUUUUUCACUAUUAACAAAAUACCCGUUCGGUACAAGUUUUAUGUUGAAAAAAAUUGUGGAUUAUUUCUUAUAGACGAUUUUUCAAAUUCACAUGAGGAAUAGUGGUAUGCAAGGUUGAAAUUUGUUUGGAUAGUUUGAAAGAACUAAUUUCAUAGCGCAUAUAUGUAAGCCUCAAAUCUAUGUCCGGCCUCAAAUCUAUGUCCUUUCCGCAAAACUAUGUCCUUUUUAAUAUUGCGUCAUAGACGUUCCAAAUCUAUGUCCUUUAUUGUCUCAAAUCUAUGUCCUGUACAUAGUCUCACAUCUAUGUCCUUUAUUGUCUCAAAUCUAUGACCAUUUUUGGCUCAAAUCUAUGUCCUUUCAUCGACGUAAAAUAUAACAAAACGUCAUCAAGUAAACAAUGAAAAGUUAACAAUAACAGGUGUAAGUACGGCCUUCAACACGGAGCAUUAACUCACACCGAACACACAUAGUACAAGUGGUUUAUAUGACAAAAGCAACGUUAACAUUUUAACUAUUACUACACAUGAUUUAAAAUUGCUUUAUGAUUUGUCUUUAAAACUGGAGGAAAAUCUGUUAUGAAUAGUGGACUGAUGGGAAAUUUUCAAAAAAAUGUCUUUAAAACUGGAGGAAAAUCUGUUAUGAAUAGUGGACUGAUGGAAUAUUUUCAAAAACGUCAACUAUAGAGAUUUAUCCUCUUGAAAUGUUUUCUGACAAUUAUCAGGAUAUCUUUACUCCUACUAUUGUGGAAUAUUUACAAUUCAAAACAAAUCCAGCCAUG
rnacentral:lncRNA from 1 species